UACGGGGGGGGCAAGCGUUGUUCGGAAUUACUGGGCGUAAAGGGAGCGUAGGCGGACAGUUUAGUCAGAGGUGAAAGCCCAGGGCUCAACCCUGGAAUUGCCUUUGAUACUGAUUGUCUUGAGUAUGGGAGAGGUGAGUGGAACUCCGAGUGUAGAGGUGAAAUUCGUAGAUAUUCGGAAGAACACCAGUGGCGAAGGCGACUCACUGGCCCAUUACUGACGCUGAGGCUCGAAAGCGUGGGGAGCAAACAGG
rnacentral:rRNA from 1 species